rnacentral:tRNA from 1 species
GUCAAGAUGGCCGAGUGGUUAAGGCGCCAGACUUAAGUUCUGGUCUUCGCAGAAGGCGUGGGUUCGUACCCCACUCUUGACA